rnacentral:tRNA from 2 species
UUAAUUGAAACCAAAAUAGAGGUAUAUCACUGUUAAUGAUAAAACUGAGAAAACUCUCCAAUUAAG